rnacentral:rRNA from 1 species
UACGUAGGGUGCGAGCGUUAAUCGGAAUUACUGGGCGUAAAGCGUGCGCAGGCGGUCCGCAAAGUCUGAUGUGAAAUCCCCGGGCUUAACCUGGGAAUGGCAUUUGGGACUGCAAGGCUUGAGUUUGGCAGAGGAGACUGGAAUUCCUGGUGUAGCAGUGAAAUGCGUAGAUAUCAGGAGGAAUACCGAUGGCGAAGGCAGGUCUCUGGGCUAGAACUGACGCUCAUGCACGAAAGCGUGGGGAGCAAACAGG